rnacentral:lncRNA from 1 species
UUUGUUCUUGUUAUAACGAGUUAUGACCAAGUCCUGUAUUCGCCCUUCUUUUUAGUGCUGUGUUUGUCGGAGGGAACUCAAGAAAUAUGUUCUAAUGAGUUGUUACGUGACAAGCUAUGUCCAGAGUAAACCUGCUCUCGGCGGCUGUUGUUAUGGAGUCCGGCGGUAGGCAAAGAAUAUCUUAUACUUAAUGAAGUAGAUGAGCAAGAGUGAAAAGAGCAUAAGUGGAAGUUUCAUUUUGUGUGCGUGUGUUGGCGUAGAUAGAAUAAGAGAAGAAUACGUUCUCGGCUCUCCCUUUGCGCUCGUUGUUUACUCUUUUCUUUCAUAUGCGCUCGAUGGAUUGAAUUCCCUUAGAGUCAGGAAGCAGGAAGCAGUGCUUGUUAAGUCUUAGAAAGAAUAAGAGGUGAAGUCGUUAACAGCAAUCGGUUCUGUUCCAGUAGCCAUAGUUAUAGGAGAAGAAUGAAGUUAAGUUAAUAGGGGUAGGCUUGUUUACUUGGGUAUCAGGGAAGGCUUGUUUACUGACUUGCUUGUUAGGGUGGUAAACUGACUUGCUUGUUAGGAUAGUUGUUUCAUUCCUAUGCUAGGCUAGGGGUGGGCAAGUGGGCAAGCGAGUAGUUUCUUUAUACAGUAGUUAGUUUACUCACUCUGGUAUUGCACUAAAGAAUCGAUCGAGUUUAAGAAUCGAAUGGGAUGAAUCAAUUUCUCAAAUCCAAAAAAAAGUAGAAAACGAUGGAAAUUGAUCCUAUACAGACUCAGUAGACACACAGUAGCAAAAAACCUAGGGGAACGUUUACUCUCCUUAUUAA